AUGGCAAGAUAAACGGGGACAACUUAGACUUUCGAGCGGCUACACACGAAAUCAGAAUGAAUGUUAAAGCCAAAGACUUUUCUUUGCUUCAGACUUUACCCCAGACAGAAUAGAUCUUUCAAAGUACAGUGACAAAGGGAGCAUCGGUGAUGUCAAUUCUGUAAGAGUUGAAAACUUUCUGCCAUCUCUAGAAGAGGAGAAAAUAUACAGAGAAAGCUUGAAAAUCAUUUUAGCAAGAGAUAUGGUUGCUUUUUCCAACAAAUUUACAUGGAUGAAAAUGUGCAUUCAAGACCACAUACCGCAUGAACUUGCUGAGGAAAUGGCACAGAAAUCCACUCCUUUCCUCAUGCCAAUACUUUUAAAAAAAUGAGACAUCAUACUCUGACUGCAUUGAUAUAUUAACAUCAUAUACUAAUCAGUUGGAGGAUUGGUAUACACGAGCCGGUCGAGGUUCAAUACAGUUUCUUGGAUUCUGAAGUUCUGUUUUUAUACCUUCUUUACUUGGUGAAGAAUUUCCCAAAAUGAAGGUACCAGUUGGUGGGGACCAACUGACGCGAGAGAGACUCCAGUGGGCUAAAGCUUUGAGGUCUGGUGCCCAUACCAGUUUGGAAAGAUUUGAUAAUCUGUCUCCAAUGAUUGUUGAGCUCUUUCACACACUACAGGAUUUUCUAGAGAAAACUUGUAAACGAUUCCUCAACUUAAAGUCAUCAAGAGAUGAAGGCAGUUUGGCAUGGUAUAAGAUAAUUCUGCACCGUUCCAAUGUAAAUGGGAAAGUGAAAAGCAGGUUUGCCGCUCAUGAGGACUUCGUUACAACUGUAGGAAAAGGACUUUUCAGAGAAUUUACUCUGCAUUAUUUUGACAUGCCUGAAGAAUCAAGUGAGAUUCCUGAAAGUUAUUUACCAACUAAUGUGCACCUACUCCACAAAGAAAAACGUGAAAAGGUAUUUCAUCAAGCAAUGGACAAAAUCCUUGAUAAAAUAUUAGUUAGAUUUUGGGAUUUGGAGAAUGACAAGUCUCCUCUGAUUUUGGAUUUGAAAGUUAAAAUCCAGAGCACUGAUUUACUGAUACAAGCUCCUGUACAAAACGGAUAUGCCAAAUUGAAUUUGCGCAAGGGACAAGAAAAUAGGAUUACCAUUGUACACAUGCCUAUUGCUUUGCUUACAACUGGCAAAUCGGUUCAGUUGACUGUAAAUGGAGUUACAGUAUCUGCAACAAGAGUUAACAAGGAAACUGAUGACAUUCAGAAUUACUUUAUGUGUUUUCUACAGUAUGUAUUUCUUAUUUGGAAUUUCAUGGAUGCCAUCAAAGAAGGUGAUAUAUUUAGAACAAAUGUAUGUUUCAAAACAAUGAUUCCUUUGUUUUACUGUCACUCAGAACUAUCAAAAUAUCUAGCUGAAUGCAUUGAUUACAUUCAGAGGACAGAAAUCCUGCUUUCUACAAAGAUGUCCAUGAAAGUGAGAGCUGCAUCAUUCAUUAAUAAAAGUGGGCGAAUUGGAAAAAACAAACCAGCAGACAUGGAAAAAGAAAAUCAAGUAAAACUUCUUAAAGAACUUAUCAAAGGACUUGGUUCCAAUAAAACAGAAAAUGCUAUUGUUGGAAUCUCUAAAGCUGCACCAGUUAUCGAAUCUGUGGUCCAUCACUUUGAUGAAGAAGCAGGGAUCUGUGAGGUCAGAACAACACAUAAAUCAAGAUCUCUGGAAAGUGACCUAAAGGUAAUGUUAGAGAAAACCAGGGAAUUGGAUCCAUUUAGUAACCAAGGGAGAAGUUUGCAAUCAUACAAGGGAAUAAAUGCUAAUCCUAUCUAUUCUGUAAACAAGGAAAAAUUUCAUCAAGUUGUCCUAAGAACGGCACAAAGAUUACGUAGGGGACAGAUUUCUGACCAAACAGAAGAAGACACUAGUAAUAUCGAGGGUGGUGAUAGUGAUAGUGAUGAUCCCGGUUCUCUUUUUGAGUGAUGUAUAGACACAAAAACAAUAUUCAAAAUUUCUACUUUCAUUUGAAAACUUGUUAUUUAUAAGUUGAUAAAAAAUACAAAGUUAAUCCUC
rnacentral:sRNA from 1 species